CAGAAAAGCGCUGCAUGAUUACUCAUUGUGACACAGGACGUCAGAUCCAUGGUCUGGAUUCGUCUCCUCAAUUCAAGUUCCUGUAUGACCUUUCACCUUCCUGCCCUGUGUAGUUUUCCUCCCGGCUCAGACUAAUUCUGGAAAUAAAUCCAGGUCUCCCACCGACGGCAAGGCGGCUCAGGAAAAGAUGUCUGGAAUGACCGUGAAGUCUUCCGAGGUGCAUUAUACGCCUCCAGGAGUCUACAAUCUGGCGUGCUGUUCAGCUUUAGGGGCAUGUAGAGUUUGGUGUCAUCAGGCGGUUGCGAUUGGCUGGCGACUAUUUGAGGUAGUACCCCACCUCUACACCUGAAGCCAGCUGGAUAGGCUCCUGUAAAUGAAAUGACAAAAUUCCAAGCCUGCUUGUAACACAGAAGUUUGGAUUUACCCGUUUAUUAAAUUGUGUGAAGUAUUCAUGGCUGUGUUGCGGGUUAUUUACUACGACUGAAUGUACAAUUGAUAACAAGUGCAAAAGUGGUGCAGACCGCCUUAUUUAAAUGACAUAAUUGCAUUUACUACUGUCAUUACGUACCCAUGA